AUGAGCCAAUUCCUUCAAUUUCUCUCUCUCUCAUCUGUCUAUCUCAUCUCUAUUAUCUAUGGAUACAGAUAUAAACACCCAUCAUCUGUCCCCUGUCUUGUCUGUCCAUCCAUCCAUCCAUCCAUCCAUCCAUGUUAUAUCUUUAUUUCCCUAAUCUGUAGAAAAAUACAGAUAUGUAAAUCUAUCAUCUAUCUUGCACCUCUAUCCAUCCAUCGAUGCACGAUGUGGCUCUGUCUGCCAUCUAUCUGUUUAAUCUAUCUCUGUCUUUCUCUAGGAUCUAUCUUUCUAUCAUCCGUAGCUGAAUAUAGAUCUAUGCAUCCAUGCAUCCAUCCACCCACCCAUCCAUCCACGAUGUAUCUUUCAAUAUCUGUCAUCUAUCUCUACUAUCUGUUCCUCUAUCAUCUACAGAUAAAUAUACAUGCAUCCAUCCAUCCAUCCAUCCAUCCAUCCAUCCAUCCAUCCAUCCAUCCUUUUGGUCCUUGUAUUAGUCUUCUGCAGAGAAACACAGGGUGCAGGGCAUGCAUGAUAAGGAACUGGCUCCCAUGAUUACAGAGGGCACGAGGUCCCAGGACGUGCUGUCUAUACUGCAGACACCCAGGAGAGCCAACAGGGCCUCUGUCGGAGAAGACUGCUGUCCCGCUCCGAGAUGGUCGGGCAGAGACGGCUCUUUCUUCCUUACUUGGACUUUGGUGCUACUCAGGUCGUCAGCAAAUAGGGGGACGGACCGGGGCCCACCCAGCCCGGGAAGGGCCAUCUGCUCCCUUCUGCCCACUGACUCGGAUGUUCCACUCAUCCAGAAACACCCUCCCAGACACACCCCGAGUCACCAAACGUCUGGGCACCUCCCGGCCCACAGAGCUGACACAUGAAACGCAGCACCACAGCCUACUUCUUGGGAGAAGCUGACUUACAGCUGAACCUUCGGAGAAGCAAGACCUUGGAUGAUGUUCUCAUUCCCCCCAGCGUGGAGGGGAACACGUCUCUCUCCCUCUCUCUCUCAUUUCUGGGACCCCUGCCUUCCGGAGACACCUCCCUGUCACAGCUGAACCCCCCACAUCCCGUUAUCCUACCACUGGAUCGCCCAGAACUUCAGCAAGACAGUCAGUCAACAGCAGAACCAGGUAACUUCAAAGCCCACAGGACGAAUCAGGGCCACGGAAGGGACGGGGUAUGGGGUGACGAUUAGACAUGAUUUUUCUGGAGGCAUCAGAGACGUGGGGGCGCCGGGAGUGGGGCAAGGCCAAGGAGAGAGACAGGUCUGUCCUGGGCGAGGUUCGAAUCAGAGACGCUGUGGAUCCAAGGAGCCCUGCGCCACCAUCACAAGCAUCAGAGACCCCCGUCUCAUGCACAACCUCCUGCCGGGGGCCAGGAGGCUCUAGAACGUGGAGAGAUGGGGCAGGUCUCCUAGACAGGGGCUGGGGGUAUCCCACAGGCUUGGACCAGGUCACCUUGAUGCAGCCAACAGGCUUGGACCAGGUCACCUUGAUGCAGCCGCCCUCUGAGGCCCAGAGAAGAUAAACUGCCACCACGAGUGGGCCAGCGUCGG
rnacentral:lncRNA from 1 species